GCCAACCCCGCCUGCACGCCCCGUGUGGGCCCCCGCUCGCCUUUCUCCUCCUCCGCUAUCUACACUACAGUACUACACUACCUUCUCAACAGCUGCUGAGGUCCCGGCUCUGCUAUAUAUACGGAGUGCUGCUUUAAGUUCUACACCUGCUACUUGAGCAAACAACGGCAUAGCUCGUCCUCGCCGUUGCCAACUUGGGAGAAUCCUGAUCGUGACUGACUGCAAGAUGAAGCUGCUCGUCGGAGGCCAGAGGAGGCAGAGGGGAUUCGGCAAGGCCCUCAAGGAGCAGAGGGCCAGGCUCUACAUCAUCCAGCGCUGCGUCGUCAUGCUCCUGCGAUGGCACGACUGAUCCAAUCCACAUACUGCCAUGGGGGAGCUUCGUCCGAGAUACAAACCAGUGGAUUCACAGGGCGAGCUCCAUCGUCCUUGCCUGGUGCUUGCUUCAUCGGGCGCCGGAGUUUUGAGAGGUGUCGCGCUGCUGCCACAAUGGUUGCCGCUUGCCGGCUGCUGUACAUAGAGAUAGAGGGCCAUGGCCAAUAUAGUGUAGUACAAAUAGAGGUAGGUGUUCGUCAGUGUCUACUGUGUCAUUGUGUAUGGAAUGCCAAAUCAGUGAACAAGACAGUUGUUGGGGUCUUUCUCUUUCGAAUGUCCUCAAAAAUACGGCUAACCAUUUGCUUUCAGCAUAUUACUAAAUAUUACAGGAGCUUCGUCACUAAAAAAGCUUUAACAUAACUCAAGAGAAAUACGACGAUACAAGCUUCAUCACGGUUAAGCAGAAAGACGACAUAGUGAGAAGGUGUUGUUCAAGUUAUUAAAUACAAAUGACGAUAAUGUCCUUGUGACAUUUAUAAACUCUGUAUAUAAUUGUUGAGGACAUGAAUGUAAUAACGUACGAAGCUGUACGAUUGCCUAUAAAUAGAUGAACAGUACCCACGCUGGAUUAUAAUUGCCCUCGCGUCAUUACCUUCAAACAAGCCGAAGGUAUCAAUGCAAUACAAACUUUGAUAGUGUUUGUAUAUUUAUUAUGAAAUAAAUAUGUGGCGUGACAUCACAUCUCGUAAGUACAUCUUCAUAUUUACGAAUGAUGAAGACUCAUUAUUCAUGACCUUCGUCUAAGAUUCAUUAAAUCCGAAAGGAAAUAAUGCUUCGAAAGACGAAGGUCUUUAACAUAUAACAAAUGUUGUUGCCUUGCUUUUGAUUCAUAGCAAUUAAGAACAAUUGACCAACGUUGAUGCCCACCUAUGGUGAACUCAAACGACCACCUUCGACAACAAGAGCUCGAACAACUACUUUCGUCGAGCCGCCGAAGAAGGCGGUAGCGCCAGGGGCUUCCCUUGCGCCGCUGGACACCAAUCAAGAGGGGCUCCUUCUGAGGGAGACCCGAAGCCAGAAAAGGAAGGCCAUUAGCCUAACACCACAGGAAGAAGAGUUGGAUCAAGAAAUCAGAGAUCUAGAGGCUAUCCAUCAACAAGUGGAAAGAAGAAGAGAGAAAAUGCUUCGGCUGACUGAACUCUAGAAGAAGAUUGCUGAAGCAGUCGAAGAGAUGUGUCACAUCACACAAGACAACGAGCAAGGGCGUAGGCCACAACAGAGAGAGCUUCGUUAGGAAAGCCCUAGCUAUGAUGACGUAUGGUAUGACGAUUUUCAUCAUGAUAACAUUGCUUUUGAUGAUGCUUCCCCCCUAGCUACAGAAUUGUAGGCUACCCCAUGGUCACCUUCGUACAAAUCACCACAACUUCCCAUGUAUGACGGGCAUUCGGACCCGAAUCAGUUCCUCAUGAGUUACGAAGCAACCAUAUCAUCAUAUGGUGGCAACACUACUGUCAUGGCCAAAUCCUUCGCCAUGGCAGUCAGGAGUUUUGUUCAAACAUGGUAUUAUUCUCUUCGGUCGGGAACAAUCACAUCGUGGCAGAAGCUGAAGGAUACGCUAGUCACCCACUUUUUGAGCUUUCAGACGAAGCCAGUGACUGCUCAAGCUCUAUUCCAGUGCACACAGGACCACGCGGAGUAUUUGCAGGCAUAUGUCCAAAGGUUUCUAUGUCUCAGAGCUCAAGCGCCAACGGUGCAAAAUGAAAUUGUUAUCGAAGCCAUGAUCAAGGGACUUCGUCCAUGACCAACAGUGCAAUAUUUUGCCAGGAAGCCCCCACAAACCUUGGAGAAACUUCUACAAAAGAUGGAUGAGUACAUUAGAGCCGACAAUGAUUUCUGGCAAAGAUGGGAAGAAGCUUACAGAUAUUCUGAUAAACCCAGGGGCUUCGGAGGAAGGCUCCAACCAAGGCAUGUCAAAACGAUACACAAUCCAGCCAAAGUGAAGACAGAGGCAAUCACAACCAAGGAUAUCAACACAGUUCCCAGUCAUCUGGGACACAACAAAGCUCCUUCAGACCACCAGCCCCAAGAGAUAGAGGGGGACAAAGCUUUGGAGGAAGAUUCAGUUCACAACCGAGAAGGUUGUUCUGCCUGUUCUGUGGAGAAGAUAAGGGGCACACAACUAGGACAUGCCAAGUUACAAUACAGAAACAAAAGGAGAUAGCUGAGGUUGAAGCACGGCAAAAUCAGCCGAAGCAAGUCCUACAUACUGCUUCGUGCUAUUCCCCGUACAUUCUUGAGUAUGUGGGCAAUCAACAGCCAUUUUCACAACCCACAAUGUCAGCAACUUCGGCGAGCCACUCCCCAGCUCCAUGGGCAUUGCCACCACCACCGGUCAUGGCUCCAACUUCGUCCCACACCAAUAGCCUGAGGGGCAUCGCCAAAUUUAGCAACAACGCGAUGCAAGGGAAGAGUAUGAAGCCCAGACAGUUAAUAGCACUGUACCAGAAUCAAGGCACAUCUACUGAAGCAAUAAAGGGGCUGGAUCAAAAAACAUUCAUACACACCUAAUGUAAUUUUCAUUUAUCUCGAUUUCCUGUUUUUGCCUCAAAGAUAAUUUGAGAAGGUACAACCGUCAACCUGUUGUAAAAAAUAUGGAGUUACACUAUCGAGUGUAAUAGAAACAGUGAAAAAGCUCUGAAGUCGUUCCUAUGGGGAUGCAGAGCUAAAAUACCACCUAAGUAAAAGGUGAAGAAGCUCCAAAGUCAUUCCUAAGGCGAUGCAAAGCUUAGCUCUAAAGUCGUUACCAAGGGGAUGCAAAGCUUAGAUCCAAAGUCGUUCCUACGGGGAUGAAGAGCUAAAAUACCACCUAAGUAAAAGGUGAAGAAGAUCCAAAGUCGUUCCUACGGAGAUGCAGAGCUUAAAUGCCACCUAAGUAAAAGGUGAAGAGACUCCAAAGUCAUCCCUAAGGGGAUGCAGAGUCUUACUAUUACAAAAUGUUUGUCCAUUAACAUUUGUUGCGUCAUAAAAUCACAUCAUGCUGCAUAACAUCGCAUCAUUCAUCAUCUUGCAUCAUCCAAAACAGUGGAAAAGAAGGGAAAUUACUCCUUCGACCAUAAUGGCUAACCCAUAAGGUUAAGCGUAUCUGGGACAAAGAAUUAUGAAAGGAUGCUGCAAUUUUACCCAUUCCUAUUAAACGGUAAAGAAUUCCUCAGGCAAGAUCUACGGCAAGACCUUUGGACUAAUUUUGUUACUUCGGCAACGAUAUUCCUUAUGCAAGAUCUACGACAAGACCUUCGAGUUUGAUAAUACUGCUACGGUGAAAAAGGGAUUUUCUUUAUGAAGCGUGAAAAGAAGGGAAGGUAUUUUUUCGCCUUUGGCUCAAAACGGUACGUAUGACAAUUUCACGCUACGCAAAGAAAUAUAUUACGCCAUGAGACACAAAGCCUGCAAUUGUUUGUUACAUAAAAAACACCACACAAAAAUUUGCAAAAUGUUUUUAUACAUAGUCUAAUCAUCCUUCUUCAGGACUCUCUCAGCAUCUUCGUUUAGAAGUCUAUUUACAGCUUCAUCAAUUGCUUCAUUUGCUAUUCUGAUUACAUCGAGAGUACCCUUCAGGGCUGGAUCGGCCUCAAGGUUGUAUGGCUUUGGAGGAGGAGAUAGUUCAGCUACAUCAAAAUAUAAGCUUUUGUCAAGCACAAAGUUAACAUACUUACGAAGCUAAAAUAUGACAAACAUACCUAUAUGUCUUUCACGUUCAGCGGCCUCUUCAUCUUUUCUUGAUUCUUAUAAGGCAAGAUGAGCCUCUUCUUCAUUUCGCCUAAUGGCUUCGCCUGCUACCUCUCGAACGCCAUUCAUCCAUACUUCAAAAUAGAAUUUCCCACUAAGGGCAGUAGUUUCGGCUGAUGGCUCCUUGAUGUCAGUCGCUGAAACUGGGAAGUCUGGCUGAAUUACAGCCUUCGCAUGGUCACAGCCAGCUUUUUUAAGUAAAGAUACAGCUCCCCGAGUGUAGGAUCUAGGACAACGGCUAGAGGGGGGUGAAUAGACGAUUUUGACUAAAUUCAAAAACACUAGAUAAAUUUAAUCAAUAUGACAAGAGGUAUAAAUUCUCUAGUGACAACAAGUAAACAAUCUAUGAGAAACAACUAUGGUGAUUGUAUACUCGAAGAACAAUAUGCAAAAUACUAAUCACUUGCACGACAAUAAGUAAUGCAAGAAAAGAAAGACACCGGAUUUUAUCCUGUGGUAUCGGUGAUUUGCCGAUCACCCCUAAUCCACGUUGAGGUGGACUUCAAGAUCUCACUUGCUCCUCUAUCAAGACACGACUUGAUCUUUGAGCCAACUGGACAAGAAAUCACUCAAUACCUCGUUUCCACUAAUGUCAUCUUUGCCGCUCCGACGAGGUAGGCGCGAACCUCUCACAAUCGACAUCGCGGCUCCUCCACAAUCUUCUUGGAGAGCUCGACAGAGACAACACUCGAGCCGUCUAGGAGGCGGCAACCUCCAAGAGUAACAAGCCGAUGACGCUUGCUUGGUGUACCACCUAGUGCCUCAAGGAUCACCAAUGGAUGCAAAUGCACUAGGAACUCUCAAUCUCUCACUAGAAUGCAAUCUCAAGCAAGAAGUGUGAGAGAAUGAGUGGGAGGAUCACAAAUGAGCUCAAUGUGUGCAAGGAAUGGCCAAGGGAGCCCUCACACAUGAGCUCCCCUUCUAUUUAUAACCCACCUCACAAAUCGAACCGUUAUGUGCAAACAACACACAUUCUGCGCACACGCGGACGGUCCGCGCCCUGAGGCCGGACGGUCCGUUGUACAUAUAACAGCUAGUUUUCCCGUUUAAAAUCUGUCAGAGCUGUCAGAAAAGCGAGGUCCGGACAGUCCGCCAACCUUGGCCGGACCGUCCGAGACCUGGCAACUUGGAGCACCAGUGCUCUAACCAAGAGGAGUUAACACAUGCGGACUGUCCGCCCUACAAGGCCGGACGGUCCGCAACCUGGGAGACAGUACUGUCCAGGCUUAGACCCCGGACAGUCUGUAGUACAAAUGCCCAAAAACACACAGUCCCUGCCCAAACCAAUUUGGCACCUGCGGACAGUCCGCCCUACAAGGCCAGAUGGUCCGCACAAUAAUACAGGGACUGUGCCGAGAGCAACCUUCUCUAGUCAGGACUGCGGACGGUCCGGCCCAAGGCCCGGACGGUCCGCAGUACAAAUGACAGGAACAACGAUGUUAACAUACUUUGGACCACCACUGGAUGGAUCGCGGACGGUCCGCCAACCCCAUAACUUAACAACUUUUCAAACACGCUUUUGAAAAGAUUUUUAACUCUUGAAAUUGGAAGCGAUGUUAGUCCUCAUGCAAAUGCAACCACUAGAUGCUCUAUGAGGCACUAAGUUUGACACAGACAAACGUCAUUGACCCCUCUUAAUAGUACGACCAUCUAGCCUACUAAUCCAAUCAAAUAUCUUCUCUAAACUCCUGGAGACCGACAAAAACAAAACCUAUGUUAUACCUUUGCCUUCACUUGAUCCACAACCAAUGCUUAUAAAUCUCCAUGAUUUUUUGUUCUAUGUGGUCCAACCCUGCAUUCUAAUUUCUCCAAGAACCAUUAGUCCACAACCAGUUGUCAUUAAUUACCAAAACAUCACUAAGGGCCUAGAUGAUUCACAAUCUCCCCCUUUUUGGUAAUUGAUGACAACACCACACAUUAUAUCCAAGAGAAGUUUUGUUUUUCAAACCUCCCUCAUACCUUAGGUAUAAGAAGGAUUUUAGAGGUGAGUUUUAUAAGACUUAUCUUGAUUUGAAGUUCCGUCCGAGAGAUAGAUAAAUCUCAAUAAAACUCAGAGUGUAGGAAUAUCUCCCCCUAUGUGUGUGCAUGAUAUUUCUAGUUGAAGAUACAACACACAUAAUCGAUCGGAGUUUUAAUGGAGAUCUUCCUACAGUCAUGGUUAUCGAGGCAUACAAGAAGUAAUAUGUAAAAUAAGCGCAACAAAUUUAAUCACUCCUCGAUCAACCAUUCACACACAUAGUUCAACCCACAGAAUAUUACAAAUAUUUGUCCACAAACAUAGUAAACAUGCACAUGCACAUGCAAAGUCUCAAUGUUCAUAUGAGCGAGCUCCCCCUAAAUAUGACAUUCCCAACUUCUCUUCUCUUCUCUCCCCCUUUGGCAUCAAUUGCCACAAAGGAGGGGCUUCACUGACCACCAGGUGGAGGAUACAUGCUGUAAUAAUGGGUGCUGAAGGUGUCAAAGAGAGAGGAGAACUGCCCAAAGUCUUGCUGGAGCUGCUGCUACCUCUGACUUAUGUUUUGAAUGCUGUCAUUUGUAGACAGAUUGUCAAACUGACUAGACAAAGCCCCCAUAUAAUCCUGAAAACUCUGCUGCAUGUUGUUCAGUCUGGUCAUAAUUGGAUCAGUAAUAGUGUCUUGGAUGUGACUGCGAAUCUUAGAAAGCUCAAAAUUUAUCGCAUCCAAGUUAUCAUCAAAGCGAGCCUGCAUCCUAUCCAUGCGCUGGUCCAUAUGAGUCAUCAUGCCCUGGAAGCGGCCAUUCAUAUGGGUCUGGAGCCCUUGCUGCAUGUUCUGAAAGUAAGGAUCAAAAUAGCCUGGACCAGGCUACCAGAACUGCUGAGGCUGAGGAGGAGGUGGAGGAGGAGGCAUCUGCUCUGCAUCAGCUUCAGGAGCUUCUCCUGCAUCAUCACCAGCUUCUUCCUCAUCAUCUGGGAAAGGAGUAAGAGGCCUGGUGAUGAAUCCAAUCUCAUUCUUGAAGGGCCUAAAAGGAGUGUGAACUAUCUCACAGUGCCCCUCAAAUCUAGUCUUAGCUUUGAUGAGAGCCAUAAUGUAUGGAGCAUAGGCUAAGUUAUAGUUCUUGUCCAUUUGAGGUCCUGUAAUUGUCUCAUCAUAAAUAGCACAACAUUCAUUACCUCACCAUUCAUGACAUGGUGGAUAAUGUUCCAGAACUUGUCUCUGAUUUUGCUCUUAUCUCCACUCUUGGGAAGAAAUGUUACUCUCACAAUUUUGUUAAUCACAGCAGGAUGAUGCCUCAGUCCUGCUGUCUCACCAAACCUCGGAAUUCCCAGCCUUGCUGGCUCAUAGAAUUGCACAAAUUCUUCAAAGUUAUCCUCAGUAUACAAAUCAAUCCCAGCUGAAAUUGUAUCAUAAUCCAAACUGUUUGCAGUAGCAAAUUCAGCAAACGUUGCAGAAUACCUCUUGAAGCCAGUAAUCCAGGUGAUUGAUUGUUCAUCAAUGUCAAUCUCAGCAGUGGCCAGGAACUGUUUCACAGCCAUUUCACUGAAGUCGGUCCUCUGGCCCAUAAAGUGAUAAAGACCACAUGCAUAGAAUUUGGGAACCUUGAAUGAUUGACCCAGCAUAAAAGUCCAAUCUAUAAAUUGAUGCUUGUGAAAGUUUGUAUCCAUCAGUGUGCCCCAGAAGACAUCAAAUUGAAGCUGAGUGUGAAAGAACUGAAUAUUGGUGUAUGAGGGCAGAUCAUACUGAUUGACUGUCUUCCUAGAGUAAUAUUCUGCCAUAGAGAAUCUCCUCUUUGGAUAAGUCCAUCCUGUGAUGUCAAUUGGAUAGUCAGGAUGAGCGUGUGGAACAUCUUCUGUGUCCAUAGAAACACUACCCCCAGUUGAAGAUUGGGCCUCUAAGUCUAUGGUUGGAUUAUAGUCUGCAUCAUCUGCACGAGGGCGCUUUGAUUUGAAACAACCGUCAAGCUUCUUCUGAAGACCACCCAGACCACUGCAAUAUAUGUGAGAAAUAACCACAGGUGAAUUGUUGAUAACGCCACAACAUAGAGAAAGAAAGUGUAACUUUCUGUCAGGGGCCGGACUGUCCGCGCUAGGGGGCCAGACUGCUGCGCCAGAGGUCCGGACUGUCCGCGCUAACCUGGCGGACGGUCCGCGACCGUCCAGGGGCGAUUUUUCUAGAACCCUAGUCGUCCCAUCCAUUCAAUCAACGAUUCGACAGAGAAAUAACCAUCCAAACUUGUUCAAAUUUUUGCACAACAUUCACAAUGAGUAACACUAGCAAUUCCACCAAUCAUAUUUGUGAAUCCACUACUCAAUUCUAGAUCAGAGAGAAAAUCCGAAGAAUCCCCAAAUUUGAAGAAAUCAGAUAAAGUCCAUGAGAUUUUGAAAUACCUGGACGAAGACAUGAUUGUUGAACUUCCAACAAGCUUCCGGACAGUCCGUGCGCAAGUUCACUUCAUCGUCCGCUCACAAUCAACAAGAGUCACCUUUAGGCGUGUGGAGAGUGUGAGAGGAGAAGGCAACUGAUGAAAGUGACAAUCUGACUGCCUCUGCCCGACUUAACUGCCUGUCGUGGACGGUCCGCGCAGGGACGGCAGACGGUCCGCGCCCUGUUAAUUCAGACUGUCUGCUCUGCUGACUCGGACUGUCCAGAUCCUGAUACAGCGGACGGUCCGUGGUCCUUAUCUAGAUGGUCCGCGGCAUGAUACUCAAAUCUCCAAACUUUGUCCACUUUCUGAUUUUGAAUUUCAAAUCUGAUUUGAAGCUCAUAUAUGGACAUUUCGACCAAUUCAAGGGUUAGUAUGCAUGCAUAUACACAUUAUGUAUUUGAGGAAUACACAUUUUCAUAUAAAACUACUUAGAUCAAACGAGAAUGAAAAAUUCAUCAAAAAUACCCAAUAAAUAGCCUAGAGAGCAUAUUUAGAAGCGAAAUGCAAUACUACACAUGUGUAUACAACCUCAAGCCACGUUUGAGAGAUCUAUCACAUUCAUUUCACUUCUUAGUGAGCAAAACCUUGUUUCAUCUAGUGGCUUUGUGAAUAUAUCGGCCAAUUGAUCAUCCGUGCCAAUCUAAUAUAUAGGGAUAUCUCCCUUUCCAACAUGAUCUCUUAAGAAGUGAUGUCGUAUAUGAAUAUGCUUCGUUCUUGAGUGUUGGACAGGAUGUAGCCAAUUUUACCGCACUCUCAUUAUCACACAUGAGAGGCACAUUCUUAAUAAUGAUCCCAUAAUCCAAUAGAGUUUGUUUCAUUCAUAAUAAUUGAGCACAACAAUUACUGGCCGAUAUAUAUUCCGCCUCGCCGGUAGAAAGGGCAACGGAAUUUUGCUUUUUAUAAGACCAUGAAACAAGAGAUCUUCCAAGAAAUUGACAACAACCGGAGGUGCUCUUUCUAUCAACUUUGGAACCCGCAUAAUCCGAAUCUGAAUAUCCAAUUAAUUCAAAUUGAGCACCUUUGGGAUACCAUAGACCAAUAUUGGGGGUAUACUUCAAAUAUCUUAGAAUUCUUUUUGCGGCCUUCAAGUGAAUCUCUCUAGGUGAAGCUUGAAAUCGAGCACACAUGCAAACACUAAACAUAACAUCGGGCCUAGAUGCGGUAAUGUAAAGCAAACUACCAAUUAUUGAACAAAAAAGUUUUUGAUCAACCAUAGUACCUCCCUCAUCUAAGUCUAGAUGACCAUUUGUUGCCAUAGGAGCCUUGAUAGGCUUUGCAUUCUCUAAGACAAACUUCUUGAGCAUAUCCUUCAAAUAUUUUGAUUGACUUAUAAAGACUCUAUCUUUCAAUUGUUUGAUUUGAAGACCGAGAAAGAAGCUCAAUUCUCCUAUCAUAGACAUUUCAAAUUCCUUUGACAUCAUUUUUCUAAAUUCUUCACAAAACAAUUCAUUAGUAGAUCCAAAAAUAAUAUCAUCAAAAUAAAUUUGACAAACAAACAAAUCUUUGCCAAUUCUUUUAGUGAAUAGGGUAGUGUCAACCUUCCUAAUUUUAAAGUCUUUAGAAAGUAAGAAAUCCCUAAGCCUUUCAUACCAAGCGUGUGGGGCUUGCUUAAGCCCAUAUAGAGCUUUAGAAAGCUUGUACACGUGGUUAGGUCUUUUGGAGUCCUCAAAACCGGGAGGUUGUUCAACAUACACUAGUUCCAUAAUCUUACCAUUUAGAAAGGCACUCUUUACAUCCAUUUGGUAGAGCUUGAUAUUAUGAGCACAAGCAUAAGCAAGAAGGAUCUGGAUUGCUUCCAAUCUUGCCACGGGAGCAAAUGUCUCACCAAAAUCCAAUCCCUCUAUUUGAGUAUAUCCUUGAGCAACUAAUCUUGCCUUAUUUCUUAUUACUAAUCCAUCUUCAUUGUGCUUGUUGCGAAACACCCAUUUGGUACCAAUAACAUUGUUGUUCUUUGGUCUCUCAACAAGCUCCCAAACUUCAUUUCGAGUGAAGUUAUUUAAUUCUUCAUGCAUUGCAUUCACCCAAUCAACAUCAAGUAGAGCUUCAUCUACACGGUUAGGUUCCAUACAAGAUACAAAGGAGAAAUGUUCAUAAAAUGAAGCUAUAUGAGAGCGAGUUUGAACACCCUUACUAAUAUCACCCACAAUUUGAUCAAAUGGGUGAUCCUUCACAAUAGAAUGAUGAAUUCUUGAUACCAUUUGAGAAUUUCUAGUUGAAGCAUGAGGAGGAACUGAAUGACUUGAAGUAUCUUGAUCAUGAGUAUCCAUAAUUUCAUCAUUUUGUUGACUUUGGUGAUUUUCUUCAUUUAGGGUUGAAGAGGAUGGAAUGACAACCACACUAUUUUCAUCAUCAUCUUCCUUCGGCUUUAUUUCACCAAUAGCCAUUGUUUUCAUAGCAUUUCUCAAUUGAGUUCCACCAACGUCAUCAAGAUUAUCGCUUUCAUCUUGGGACCCAUUAGUUUCAUCAAACUCAACAUCGUAUGCUUCUUCAAUAAUACCAUGAGUCUUGUUGAAGACUCUAUAAGCCUUACUAUUUGAUGAAUAUCCAAGUAGAAAAUCCUCAUCACAUUUCUUCUCAAAUUUAGAGAACCGGCUUCCCUUUCUCAAAAUAUAACAUUUGCAACCGAAUACUCUAAAAUAUGAGAUAUUUGGCUUUCUACCAAUGAGCAAUUCAUAGGGAGUUUUCUUCAAGAGCUUGUGACAAUAUAGCCUAUUUGAUGAAUGACAUGCAGUGUUUAUUGCUUCGGCCCAAUAAGAAUCCGACACAUUAUAUUCCGCUAACAUAGACUUAGCCAUAUCAAUGAGAGUCCUAUUCUUUCUUUCAACAAUACCAUUUUGUUCUGGAGUAUACUUGGAAGAAAAUUCAUGUUUAAUAACCUUGUCAUCACAAUAUUUAUCAAUUCUAGCAUUUUUGAAUUCCGACCCAUUAUCACUUCUAACUUUCUUGAUGUCAAAAUCAAAUUGAUUUUGAGCCAAUAUAGCAAAUGACUUGAAUGUUUCAAACACAUUAUAUUUAUCCCGAAGAAAGUAAACCCAAGUGAAUCUAGAAUAAUCAUCCACAAUCACAAGGCAAUAGGAAUUACCGUCGAUACUCACAAACGAUGUUGGCCCAAAUAAAUCCAUGUGAAGUAAUUCCAAAGGCCGAUGAGUAGACAUUUGAUUUUUAUUUGGAUGAGUAUUUGCCACUUGCUUCCCGGCUUGACAUGAGCUACACAAUUUGUUCUUCUCAAAUUUCACAUCUUUCAAGCCUCGGACUAAAUCAUGUUUGGUUAAACGAUUGAGUUGCUUCAUUCCAACAUGACCAAGUCUUCUAUGCCAUAACCAACCUAGUGAAGCCUUUGAGAAUAAGCAAGUUGUGAGCUUUGCCUCACUAGAUGAGAAAUCAACAAGAUAAAGAUUUUCAUAUCUAAAGCCUUUAAACUUAAGAUUGCUACCAUCAACACUAGAGAUAAUAACAUCCUCAACGGUGAAAUUGCAACUAAUUCCUAAAUCACAUAAUUGAGCUACGGAUAGUUAAUUAAAGUUCAAAGACUCAACCAAAAGCACAUUUGAUAUGGAAUGAUCAUUCGAAAUAGCAAUUUUACCCAAGCCUUUAACCUUUCCUUUGUGAUUAUAUCCAAAUGUGAUACUAUCAUAAUUUGAGCAAUCUUCCUGACUCAUUUGGGUGAACAUUUUCAUAUCUCCGGUCAUGUGUUGAGUGCAUCCACUAUCCAACACCCAAUGAUUCCUUCCCGCCUUGUAGUUCACCUACAAAAGGAAAUCAAUCUCUUUUAGGUACCCAAACUUGCUUGGGUCCUUGGAUGUUAGUGACCAAGGUCUUUGGCACCCAAAUAGCUUUUUUCUUGUUGCCAACAAUUGAAGUACCAACAAAUUUAGCAUGAACACCUUUUGCAUUAUGAGAAAGAACAUAACAAUGCUCAAAACAAGUGGAGGAUACAUUCUUGAGCUUAGGACAAUUCUUUUUGAUAUGUCCCUUCUUGUGACAUUUGUGACACACUUUGUCACAUUCUUUCACAAACAAUGUCUUUUGCUUUACAAAAGCAUUCUUUCCUUUCUUGGGAACAUAUCCAAGACCCUCAUGAUUAAGUGAGCACCGUUGACUUCCCAAUAUGAAAUCCAAUUUAGCCUUUCCACCAUAUGCCUUCUCAAGAUCAUGGGUUAGAGGAUUCACUCUAUCUACUAUUACUUCAUUUUCAACAAUGAUUUGUGAUUCAUCAAGAGCAAUAUUUUCAUUCAUAAGAGAAAUUUUGCAUUUAUCACAAAUAGAGUUAGUAGGUUGUGGUUCACUUGUACGACUAUCAAGUAAGUCACAAGUGACUCCAACAUCCUUGGUGACCACCACAACUUCAUCCAUAAUAGAUGAGUUUUGAGCUUCCGCAAGCUUCUCACAAUUCUCUUUUAAAUCGUUGUGAGAGGUCUUGAGCUCCUCAAAAG
rnacentral:lncRNA from 1 species